UGAGGUGAUGGGAUGGGUGAUGUGGCUGACUGGAUGGUGAUUGUGAAUUGAACUACGUAAUUUCUGUCUGAACUACGUAAUUUCGGUUACGUGCCUCGGUGUAUAAACUUCUGCCUGUAAUGAACUGGUAUGUUGUAAGCUACUAAGGCCUUGUUCAGUUCGCAAAAAAUGGUGAAAAACGGCACUGUAGCACUUUCGUUUUUAUUUGACAAACAUUGUCCAAUUAUAGAGUAACUAGACUCAAAAGAUUCAUCUCGCGGUUUACAGAUGAACUGUGUAAAUAGUUUUUGUUUUCAUCUAUAUUUAAUGCUCUAUGCAUGUGCCGCAAGAUUUGAUGUGACGGGGAAUCUUGAAAAAUUUUGCGAACUAAACAAGGCCUAAGUGAAGUCCUGCAAAACUGUAUGUCAGCGUAAUUUGUUGUGUUGGGCCAGGAGCCUGUGCACAGCCAGUUUCGUUUGGCAGGCCUCCUGGGUGGCUUAGCUGGGGCGUUUGACUACAUUGUGUCCUUGACUUUCUGUCGUGUUCCGUUAAAACUUCUUGUUCAGAUGGUUUUUUAUUUGGGGAUUUUUGUCUAUAUAGAUAUAUGCUGUCUGACGUCUAAAAAGACUCAAUUUCUGUUAAUGCCACUAUCCAUAAAUUUUAAUCUCUUUCAUGCCG
rnacentral:lncRNA from 1 species